rnacentral:tRNA from 1 species
GGGCGGCUAGCUCAGCUGGUUAGAGCGCUAUCCUCACACGAUAGAAGUCACAAGUUCGAAUCUUGUGCCGCCCA